rnacentral:rRNA from 1 species
GUUAUAUGGUCAAGUGAAGAAGCGCAUACGGUGGAUGCCUUGGCAGUCAGAGGCGAUGAAAGACGUGGUAGCCUGCGAAAAGCUUCGGGGAGUCGGCAAACAGACUUUGAUCCGGAGAUCUCUGAAUGGGGGAACCCACCUAGGAUAACCUAGGUAUCUUGUACUGAAUCCAUAGGUGCAAGAGGCGAACCAGGGGAACUGAAACAUCUAAGUACCCUGAGGAAAAGAAAUCAACCGAGAUUCCCUUAGUAGUGGCGAGCGAACGGGGAUUAGCCCUUAAGCUUCAUUGAUUUUAGCGGAACGCUCUGGAAAGUGCGGCCAUAGUGGGUGAUAGCCCCGUACGCGAAAGGAUCUUUGAAGUGAAAUCGAGUAGGACGGAGCACGAGAAACUUUGUCUGAACAUGGGGGACCAUCCUCCAAGGCUAAAUACUACUGACUGACCGAUAGUGAACCAGUACCGUGAGGGAAAGGCGAAAAGAACCCCGGAGAGGGGAGUGAAAUAGAACCUGAAACCGUAUGCGUACAAGCAGUGGGAGCCUACUUGUUAGGUGACUGCGUACCUUUUGUAUAAUGGGUCAGCGACUUAUAUUCAGUGGCAAGCUUAACCGUAUAGGGUAGGCGUAGCGAAAGCGAGUCUUAAUAGGGCGUUUAGUCGCUGGGUAUAGACCCGAAACCGGGCGAUCUAUCCAUGAGCAGGUUGAAGGUUAGGUAACACUGACUGGAGGACCGAACCCACUCCCGUUGAAAAGGUAGGGGAUGACUUGUGGAUCGGAGUGAAAGGCUAAUCAAGCUCGGAGAUAGCUGGUUCUCCUCGAAAGCUAUUUAGGUAGCGCCUCAUGUAUCACUCUGGGGGGUAGAGCACUGUUUCGGCUAGGGGGUCAUCCCGACUUACCAAACCGAUGCAAACUCCGAAUACCCAGAAGUGCCGAGCAUGGGAGACACACGGCGGGUGCUAACGUCCGUCGUGAAAAGGGAAACAACCCAGACCGCCAGCUAAGGUCCCAAAGUUGUGGUUAAGUGGUAAACGAUGUGGGAAGGCUUAGACAGCUAGGAGGUUGGCUUAGAAGCAGCCACCCUUUAAAGAAAGCGUAAUAGCUCACUAGUCGAGUCGGCCUGCGCGGAAGAUGUAACGGGGCUCAAACCACACACCGAAGCUGCGGGUGUCACGUAAGUGACGCGGUAGAGGAGCGUUCUGUAAGCCUGUGAAGGUGAGUUGAGAAGCUUGCUGGAGGUAUCAGAAGUGCGAAUGCUGACAUGAGUAACGACAAUGGGUGUGAAAAACACCCACGCCGAAAGACCAAGGGUUCCUGCGCAACGUUAAUCGACGCAGGGUUAGUCGGUUCCUAAGGCGAGGCUGAAAAGCGUAGUCGAUGGGAAACAGGUUAAUAUUCCUGUACUUCUGGUUACUGCGAUGGAGGGACGGAGAAGGCUAGGCCAGCUUGGCGUUGGUUGUCCAAGUUUAAGGUGGUAGGCUGAAAUCUUAGGUAAAUCCGGGGUUUCCAAGGCCGAGAGCUGAUGACGAGUCGUCUUUUAGAUGACGAAGUGGUUGAUGCCAUGCUUCCAAGAAAAGCUUCUAAGCUUCAGGUAACCAGGAACCGUACCCCAAACCGACACAGGUGGUCGGGUAGAGAAUACCAAGGCGCUUGAGAGAACUCGGGUGAAGGAACUAGGCAAAAUGGCACCGUAACUUCGGGAGAAGGUGCGCCGGCUAGGGUGAAGGAUUUACUCCGUAAGCUCUGGCUGGUCGAAGAUACCAGGCCGCUGCGACUGUUUAUUAAAAACACAGCACUCUGCAAACACGAAAGUGGACGUAUAGGGUGUGACGCCUGCCCGGUGCCGGAAGGUUAAUUGAUGGGGUUAGCGCAAGCGAAGCUCUUGAUCGAAGCCCCGGUAAACGGCGGCCGUAACUAUAACGGUCCUAAGGUAGCGAAAUUCCUUGUCGGGUAAGUUCCGACCUGCACGAAUGGCGUAACGAUGGCGGCGCUGUCUCCACCCGAGACUCAGUGAAAUUGAAAUCGCUGUGAAGAUGCAGUGUAUCCGCGGCUAGACGGAAAGACCCCGUGAACCUUUACUGUAGCUUUGCACUGGACUUUGAGCCUGCUUGUGUAGGAUAGGUGGGAGGCUUUGAAGCGUGGACGCCAGUUCGCGUGGAGCCAUCCUUGAAAUACCACCCUGGCAUGCUUGAGGUUCUAACUCUGGUCCGUGAUCCGGAUCGAGGACAGUGUAUGGUGGGCAGUUUGACUGGGGCGGUCUCCUCCUAAAGAGUAACGGAGGAGUACGAAGGUGCGCUCAGACCGGUCGGAAAUCGGUCGCAGAGUAUAAAGGCAAAAGCGCGCUUGACUGCGAGACAGACACGUCGAGCAGGUACGAAAGUAGGUCUUAGUGAUCCGGUGGUUCUGUAUGGAAGGGCCAUCGCUCAACGGAUAAAAGGUACUCCGGGGAUAACAGGCUGAUACCGCCCAAGAGUUCAUAUCGACGGCGGUGUUUGGCACCUCGAUGUCGGCUCAUCACAUCCUGGGGCUGAAGCCGGUCCCAAGGGUAUGGCUGUUCGCCAUUUAAAGUGGUACGCGAGCUGGGUUUAGAACGUCGUGAGACAGUUCGGUCCCUAUCUGCCGUGGACGUUUGAGAUUUGAGAGGGGCUGCUCCUAGUACGAGAGGACCGGAGUGGACGAACCUCUGGUGUUCCGGUUGUCACGCCAGUGGCAUUGCCGGGUAGCUAUGUUCGGAAAAGAUAACCGCUGAAAGCAUCUAAGCGGGAAACUUGCCUCAAGAUGAGAUCUCACUGGGAACUUGAUUCCCCUGAAGGGCCGUCGAAGACUACGACGUUGAUAGGCUGGGUGUGUAAGCGUUGUGAGGCGUUGAGCUAACCAGUACUAAUUGCCCGUGAGGCUUGACCAUAUAACACCCAAACA